rnacentral:rRNA from 1 species
UUUUAUGAGAGUUUGAUCCUGGCUCAGGACGAACGCUGGCGGCGUGCCUAAUACAUGCAAGUCGAACGCUUCUUUUUCCAACGGAGCUUGCUCCACCGGAAAAAGAAGAGUGGCGAACGGGUGAGUAACACGUGGGUAACCUGCCCAUCAGAAGGGGAUAACACUUGGAAACAGGUGCUAAUACCGUAUAACAAUCAAAACCGCAUGGUUUUGAUUUGAAAGGCGCUUUCGGGUGUCGCUGAUGGAUGGACCCGCGGUGCAUUAGCUAGUUGGUGAGGUAACGGCUCACCAAGGCCACGAUGCAUAGCCGACCUGAGAGGGUGAUCGGCCACAUUGGGAC